GUGGCUUUGUGAUGGAAACAUCUGGACUCUCCAGGCUGAGAGAGUGUAAAAAUUGAAGCUGUUCCAGUGUCUUCAAGCUGUCCCACUGUCUUCCAGUAUCUGCACAGUUGCCUAUCGUCCCUUGCCGUCUCUGUUUCAUCGAAGCUGUACUGGGGAUAGGACAGUGCUUGUGAGACAGGCAUGGCACUGCUGGACUAUAACCUCAGCCCUUUAUCAAGUUUUCUAAUGACAGAUCUGUACUUUGAAGAUAGUACC